rnacentral:rRNA from 1 species
CAGGGAUUGCCCUAGUAACGGCGAGUGAAGCGGCAACAGCUCAAAUUUGAAAUCUGGCUUCGGCCCGAGUUGUAAUUUGCAGAGGAUGCUUCUGGCGCGGUGCCUUCCGAGUUCCCUGGAACGGGACGCCACAGAGGGUGAGAGCCCCGUAUGGUCGGACACCAAGCCUGUGUGAAGCUCCUUCGACGAGUCGAGUAGUUUGGGAAUGCUGCUCUAAAUGGGAGGUAAAUCUCUUCUAAAGCUAAAUACCGGCCAGAGACCGAUAGCGCACAAGUAGAGUGAUCGAAAGAUGAAAAGCACCUUGAAAAGGGGGUUAAAUAGUACGUGAAAUUGUUGAAAGGGAAGCACUUAUGACCAGACUUGGGCCGGGCGGCUCAUCAGGGGUUCUCCCCUGUGCACUCCGCCCGGCACAGGCCAGCAUCGGUUCUCGUGGGGGGAUAAGACCGUCAGGAACGUAGCACCCUCCGGGGUGUGUUAUAGCCUGGCGGACGAUACCCCCGUGGGGACCGAGGUCCGCGCUCCGCAAGGAUGCUGGCGUAAUGGUCAUCAGUGACCCGUCUUGAAACACGGACCAAGGAGUCGUCCAUUAGAGCGAGCGUUUGGGUGUAAAACCCGCACGCGUAAUGAAAGUGAACGCAGGUGAGAGCUUCGGCGCAUCAUCGACCGAUCCUGAUGUUCUCGGAAGGAUUUGAGUAAGAGUUUUAACGGACGGACCCGAAAGACAGUGAACUAUGCUUGUAUAGGGUGAAGCCAGAGGAAACUCUGGUGGAGGCUCGCAGCGGUUCUGACGUGCAAAUCGAUCGUCAAAUAUGAGCAUGGGGGCGAAAGACUAAUCGAACU